GGGGGGCAGGGGGCUAUCUGCAGUCGAGCGAUCUUAGGAGCCUGCUCCUGAAGGUUAGCGGCGGACGGGUGAGUAACACGUGGGCAACCUGCCUGUAAGACUGGGAUAACUUCGGGAAACCGGAGCUAAUACCGGAUAAUCCUUUCCCUCUCAUGAGGGGAAGCUGAAAGACGGCUCACGCUGUCACUUACAGAUGGGCCCGCGGCGCAUUAGCUAGUUGGUGAGGUAACGGCUCACCAAGGCGACGAUGCGUAGCCGACCUGAGAGGGUGAUCGGCCACACUGGGACUGAGACACGGCCCAGACUCCUACGGGAGGCAGCAGUAGGGAAUCUUCCGCAAUGGACGAAAGUCUGACGGAGCAACGCCGCGUGAACGAUGAAGGCUUUCGGGUCGUAAAGUUCUGUUGUUAGGGAAGAACAAGUACCAGAGUAACUGCUGGUACCUUGACGGUACCUAACCAGAAAGCCACGGCUAACUACGUGCCAGCAGCCGCGGUAAUACGUAGGUGGCAAGCGUUAUCCGGAAUUAUUGGGCGUAAAGCGCUCGCAGGCGGUCUUUUAAGUCUGAUGUGAAAGCCCACGGCUCAACCGUGGAGGGUCAUUGGAAACUGGGAGACUUGAGUGCAGAAGAGGAGAGUGGAAUUCCACGUGUAGCGGUGAAAUGCGUAGAGAUGUGGAGGAACACCAGUGGCGAAGGCGACUCUCUGGUCUGUAACUGACGCUGAGGAGCGAAAGCGUGGGGAGCGAACAGGAUUAGAUACCCUGGUAGUCCACGCCGUANACGAUGAGUGCUAAGUGUUAGAGGGUUUCCGCCCUUUAGUGCUGCAGCUAACGCAUUAAGCACUCCG
rnacentral:rRNA from 1 species